GGUAGUGGUAGCUCAGUGGUUAAGCUGUUGGCCUAUUGCUCAGCAGGUCAUGAGUUCAAUCCUCAGCACCACCA